AUUUGUCUGGUUAAUUCCGUUUAACCGAACGAGACCUUAACCUGCUAAAUAAGUUUAGGCCAACUUUGGUUGGUCGUCAACUUCUUAGAGGGACUAUUGACGACUAGUCAAUGGAAGUUUGAGGCAAUAACAGGUCUGUGAUGCCCUUAGAUGUUCUGGGCCGCACGCGCGCUACACUGACGAAGUCAGCAAGUUUAUAACCUUGGUCGGAAGAUCUGGGUAAUCUUUUGAAACUUCGUCGUGCUGGGGAUAGAGCAUUGCAAUC
rnacentral:rRNA from 1 species